UACGUAGGGUGCAAGCGUUAAUCGGAAUUACUGGGCGUAAAGCGUGCGCAGGCGGUCUUUUUAAGUCAGAUGUGAAAUCCCCGGGCUUAACCUGGGAACUGCAUUCGAGACUGCAUUGCUAGAGUAUGGGAGAGGGAAGUGGAAUUUCCGGUGUAGCGGUGAAAUGCGUAGAUAUCGGAAGGAACAUCAGUGGCGAAAGCGACUUCCUGGACCAAUACUGACGCUCAUGUGCGAAAGCGUGGGGAGCAAACAGG
rnacentral:rRNA from 1 species